rnacentral:lncRNA from 1 species
UAACACCUACUCUCCAUAUCACAUUCAUGCCUCUGUCCGACAACAUGAGAUAGAUGCAAAUGAAUGAUGUUCUAACAGACAACAACUACAACGACUGGUCACAAGAGAUGUUAAAUUUCUUGUUUUCCAAAAAUAAAGUUGGCUUCAUCAAUGGGACAAUCCAAAAGUGAUAGAUUAUGUGGAAACCUCAUUAAUUAGGGUUGCAUGUAUAGAUAUCAAUAUGUAAUAUGUAAUGUAAAUAUAUUAUAUAAGAGCUCCUAUACAAUAUACAAAUGCUACUCUAAUAAAAGACUACCAUUUAUGCCACGUGUCGUUUGCUCAGCCCUUCCUAAGCUUAUCUUCCCGCUCAUUUUCCUUCGAGUGUAAUUACUAAACUAUCCUUUUAUAGCUUCAAAUUGGUCGGCCCUUAUAAUCUGCAUUAAUCAAUCCCGUUAAAUUUGCAACAAAUUGAUCGACUAACUAUAAUAUGCGUAAAGAUACCUAAUUUUGCGUUUGCAUUUCCAAAAUCAAAUCAAACAAUCAUAUUCGCUCAUCGGUUUAACCUAUUCACUCCAUUAUUUACGCUCAAAUUAUCUAUGCGAUGAAACUUGAUCCCAGUAUACAUGAUCGUGAAAAAUCAGGGACGGAAUCACAAGAAAUCACAUACAUAUCUUCUUCCUUUCUCUCUCACGAACACUUGAGAAUUUUUCUUCUGUCUUCUGUUGCUCCUAAUUUGAAUUGAUUUAUUGGUGCAGGUAUCUAAGUAAUUUGAAGAAGUUUGGUCCCGAUAGGAGAUAACAUCAAAUCAUCGUUGAAACAAACAGAUCGCAAGGUUACAAUUUUUCCUUCAUUAUCGCUACCUUAUCGCAGCUCUAUCUCCAUCCUUUUCAAAUUCCGAUUUCUUCUCCAUGUUCCCUUAUUGCAGGAGGCAGGAGAUGGUUCGGUUAUAUUGUCGUCUUAUGAUUCUGAUCUCAUCAUUUGGUUUAACAUGUACGGAUGUUAACGAUGGUGGAUUCAAUUUGAGAAUUUAUGGUUCACGAUUUCUUCUUAUUAAGGUUCUUAAUUCAUGGUAUUCAAUUUUAUUUUUUCUGUUCUAUGUUUCUGAUUUACAAGGUCUUUUUACAUUAAAGUUUGCUCCUUCGUUGGUUGAGUUCUUGGGCAAAAGUUAAGGACAAACUUUGAUUUAACCUAAUUUCUUUCCAAGAGACAUCUUCAUGAUAUUCUUAAAAUAAAUGAGAAUUUUUUUAUGGAAGCAUAACAAAAUCGGUUGUAUUCUCCUUUACCCUCCACUAAUUGCUGAUGAACUCAUUUAUUUAACACCUGAUACCUCCCCUUCUCAACACACCGAUGAACAAGUUAAUCUAUAUCAUCCUUUCAUAUUCUUUUUGAAAAAAAAAA